UACGGAGGGUGCAAGCGUUGUCCGGAAUCACUGGGCGUAAAGGGCGCGUAGGCGGCCGUGUAAGUCACUUGUGAAAUCCCGGGGCUCAACCCCGGGGCUGCAGGUGAGACUGCGUGGCUAGAGCACGGUAGAGGCGAGUGGAAUUCCCGGUGUAGCGGUGGAAUGCGUAGAUAUUGGGAGGAACACCAGUGGCGAAGGCGGCUCACUGGACUGGUACUGACGCUGAUGCGCGAAAGCGUGGGGAGCAAACAGG
rnacentral:rRNA from 1 species